UACGUAGGUGGCAAGCGUUGUCCGGAUUUACUGGGCGUAAAGGGCUUGUAGGCGGUUUGCUAAGUCCGGUGUGAAAUCUCCCGGCUCAACUGGGAGGAGCCAUCGGAAACUGGCAAGCUAGAGGUGGGCAGAGGAAAGCGGAAUUCCCGGUGUAGCGGUGAAAUGCGCAGAUAUCGGGAGGAACACCAAUGGCGAAGGCAGCUCGCUGGGACGGUACUGACGCUGAGGCGCGAAAGCGUGGGUAGCAAACAGG
rnacentral:rRNA from 1 species